rnacentral:rRNA from 1 species
CCUACGGGCGGCAGCAGUGGGGAAUAUUGGGCAAUGGGCGCAAGCCUGACCCAGCAACGCCGCGUGAAGGAAGAAGGCUUUCGGGUUGUAAACUUCUUUUAUGAGGGAAGAGCAGAAGACGGUACCUCUUGAAUAAGCCACGGCUAACUACGUGCCAGCAGCCGCGGUAAUACGUAGGUGGCAAGCGUUGUACGGAUUUACUGGGUGGAAAGGGCGUGUAGCCGGGCUGACAAGUCAGUUGUGAAAUUCCGGGGCUCAACCCCGGCCCUGCAUUUGAAACUGUUGGUCUUGAGUUUCGGAGAGGCAGGCGGAAUUCCUAGUGAAGCGGUGGAAUGCGUAGAUAUUAGGAAGAACACCAGUGGCGAAGGCAGUCUGCUGGACGACAACUGACGGUGAGGCGCGAAAGCGUGGGGAGCAAACAGGAUUAGAUACCCUUGUAGUC